GAGACAGGUUUUUUAUUAUAUAGAUAGUGCUGUAUUGUAGCUUUCUAGACCAGGUUGGCCUUAAACUCACAGAGAUCCUCUUGCCUCUGCCUCCCAGCCAUGGGUUCUUGACCAGAUUUACAGUAUCAGAUAUAUACUUUCUCCCAUGGAGCAGCAAGCUGUUCCCCUGCUAACUACCUUUCAUAAUGUUAGAAGGUGCUGUGUAUACUGCAGGGGUAGAUACAGCAUCAACAGUCUUACCCAGCUGGAAACCCUAAGAACUUAAAUACCAGUGGCAGAAAGAAUGUACCCAUUGGUGUAAUACUGACACACCUGUUCUAGGUUGUAAUGACUAAAUUGUUUGAUUCUUAUUUUGGUUCUAACUUAAUACUCUAUUUCUUAAUUAUUGUACCUUUGUAUAGGAGUUGUAUGUUUUAAUUUAUUCAUUUUGUACAUUUGGAUUGGUUUAUAAGAUUAAAAAAUUAUGAAUGUCUUCUCUAUCAGUGUAACAAAAUACAGUUUCUUUAUGGAAAGCCUGUUCUCUUUUGGUGAUCAAGCAAUGUUUCAUUCCCCUUUCUCUUUUAACAUUUUGAUUCUGGAUUUUUGAGCUUUUUAUAUUUAUAAUAUAGUCUCCAAAAAGAAUUUUUCCUUAUCCUUUUACAAAUUUACCUUCCUCUAGAAGCAAUGGCUUUAGCAAUUUCAAGUCUUUUAUUUUCUGAGGCAGAAGUUUCACUCUGUAAUGAAGUCUGGUCCAAAUUCACAGCAGUUUUUCAGUGUUAACCUUUCAAAAACUGGGAUUUCAGGUAUGAGCUACUUAUGUUCAGCUUCUCUUUUGUGUUUCAUGCUUCAGGUAGGCCUUUUCUUUCUGCCAUUUACUUUCAGUCAAUCAUAAGGCCACUUCCAGUUUUACCCUUUGUUCUUCUACACAGUUUCCUUAGACUAACUUUAUUCUUGAUAAAAGUUUAUGCUGGGAUUAUGUUUCACUAUGUGUCUGCAAGUGAUUUGAAGUUUGCAUGUACUCUUAUUUUCAGUUGUCUACUAGGUUUUGUUAUUUUCUUGUUUGAUAGUUUUUCAGAAUGUCACUAUGUAUUUAAGCUACUUGGGGAGUUUAUAGUUUGAAUAUCUUAAGUAUUCCUUUUUCCCCCCUCUAAGCAAUUUACUUGUUUGGGAAUAUAGGGUUAUUUUGUCUUGUUGAGUUUCCUCUACAUUGCUAGUAUUUACUAAUUGCAACCUUGUGCCAUCAUUUAAAAUAGCAUUUACCAGAUAUCAGAAAUAUAAGAGGGGAGCAGGAGUAGUGCACAUCUCUAACCCUAGCAGUCGGGAAGCAGAGGCAGCUAGAUCUUUGUGAGUUCCAGGCCAGCCUGCCCUAUGUAGAGUGUUCCAUGCCAGCAAGGACUGCAUAGUGAUACCCUGACUUAAAACAAUGAAGCUAGGAAGUAGUUCUUGUACUGAUCUUGCAGAGGACCCAUGUUCAGGCCCUAAUACCUAUGCCAGGCCACUCUCCACUGAUUCUACCUACAGUUCCAGGAACAUGUGACACAUUGCCACCCCCUGUACAAACCUAUGCUCACACACAUGCAAUU
rnacentral:lncRNA from 1 species